rnacentral:tRNA from 1 species
GAGACCGUGCCUGAUUAAAGGGACACUUUGAUAGAGUAUAUCAUGCGGGUUAAAGCCCCGCCGGUCUCU